rnacentral:ncRNA from 1 species
UAAGGAUGUGGAGAAAUUGGAACACGCAUACACUGCUGGUGGGAAUGUAGCAAAGAUUUGUGAAACCAUCUAGUAGUGGUUCCCUCCAAAGUGUUCCUCAGGAUAGCUGGAGUUCUUACAGACAUGCAGUUUAAUCCAGCAAAGCAAAUGACUAUUGGUCUUGGGGCCAAAAUGAUCUCAAAGUAUUCUCAAACUUUAAAUGGGUAAAAACUCUGAGUUGCUGGCAUGGAGUCAGAGCCACGUUUGGUAAGCAGAACUGGCACUAUAAGAUGAAUUUAAAGCCAGGUUAAGGAUUUAAAUGUUGAAGCUCAUCAGAUCCCAGCAAAGAUAAUGGUUGGCAUACAGAGCAAGACAGGAACCAAGGGGCCAGCCCUGGGGCCGAGUGGUUAAAUUCACGUGCUCCACUUCGGCAGCCCAGGGUUUCACCGGUUCAGAUCCUGGAUGUGGACAUGGCACUGCUCAUCAAGCCAUGCUGAGGCGGCGUCCCACAUGCCAGAACUAGAAGAAUCCACAACUAAAAACGUACAACUAUGUACCAGGGGGCUUUGGGGAGAAAAAGGAAAAAUAAAAUCUUUAAAAAAAAAAAAAGACAGGAGCCAAGAAAGUCAGAAUCUGCUAAGGAGUAUAUAACAAAUCACCUACCAUAUUGUCUAACUCUGAAAAUAAGUGGCACUAAAACAUCAAUUCCAUACCCAACUGUGGCUGGCAGUGAACAUGCAAGUGGGAGCAAGAGGGGCCUACUACCUCAACUGCCCAGAUCCCACCCCCAACUGAUGCUACACAGCAAUGAGUAGAAGGGCCUCUGUGGUGAGUUCUGAAGAUCAGGAUGCGAGCCGAGGUGAAGCUGCUGCAAGUGCAGAUCUUG